rnacentral:rRNA from 1 species
GACGAACGCUGGCGGCGUGCUUAACACAUGCAAGUCGAACGGUAAGGCUCCAGCUUGCUGGGGUACACGAGUGGCGAACGGGUGAGUAACACGUGGGUGACCUGCCCUGCACUUCGGGAUAAGCCUGGGAAACUGGGUCUAAUACCGGAUAGGACCGCACCGUGAGGGUGUGGUGGAAAGUUUUUUCGGUGUGGGAUGGGCCCGCGGCCUAUCAGCUUGUUGGUGGGGUAAUGGCCUACCAAGGCGGCGACGGGUAGCCGGCCUGAGAGGGUGGACGGCCACAUUGGGACUGAGACACGGCCCAGACUCCUACGGGAGGCAGCAGUGGGGAAUAUUGCACAAUGGGCGGAAGCCUGAUGCAGCGACGCCGCGUGGGGGAUGACGGCCUUCGGGUUGUAAACUCCUUUCACCAUCGACGAAGGGUUUCUGACGGUAGAUGGAGAAGAAGCACCGGCUAACUACGUGCCAGCAGCCGCGGUAAUACGUAGGGUGCGAGCGUUGUCCGGAAUUACUGGGCGUAAAGAGCUCGUAGGUGGUUUGUCGCGUCGUCUGUGAAAUUCCGGGGCUUAACUCCGGGCGUGCAGGCGAUACGGGCAUAACUUGAGUACUGUAGGGGAGACUGGAAUUCCUGGUGUAGCGGUGAAAUGCGCAGAUAUCAGGAGGAACACCGGUGGCGAAGGCGGGUCUCUGGGCAGUAACUGACGCUGAGGAGCGAAAGCAUGGGGAGCGAACAGGGUUAGAUACCCUGGUAGUCCAUGCCGUAAACGGUGGGCGCUAGGUGUGGGUUUCCUUCCACGGGAUCCGUGCCGUAGCUAACGCAUUAAGCGCCCCGCCUGGGGAGUACGGCCGCAAGGCUAAAACUCAAAGGAAUUGACGGGGGCCCGCACAAGCGGCGGAGCAUGUGGAUUAAUUCGAUGCAACGCGAAGAACCUUACCUGGGCUUGACAUAUACAGGAUCGCGCCAGAGAUGGUGUUUCCCUUGUGGCUUGUAUACAGGUGGUGCAUGGUUGUCGUCAGCUCGUGUCGUGAGAUGUUGGGUUAAGUCCCGCAACGAGCGCAACCCUUGUCUUAUGUUGCCAGCACGUUGUGGUGGGGACUCGUAAGAAACUGCCGGGGUUAACUCGGAGGAAGGUGGGGAUGACGUCAAAUCAUCAUGCCCCUUAUGUCCAGGGCUUCACACAUGCUACAAUGGUCGGUACAGUGGGUUGCCAGUCCGUGAGGGCGAGCUAAUCCCGCAAAGCCGGUCUCAGUUCGGAUCGGGGUCUGCAACUCGACCCCGUGAAGUCGGAGUCGCUAGUAAUCGCAGAUCAGCAACGCUGCGGUGAAUACGUUCCCGGGCCU